AUGCCGCUACCGCCCCUGCUCGCGUCGACGUGGCGUUCGUUCUGCUGGGCCUCGGCCACUGAAGGGCGGGCCAAACGUCGCCUGCGGGGUCACAUCGGCCCGCAUCUCCAGGCCCACCACGCAGUGGAGCUCUGCGCCGCCGCCGCCGCCCGCACCAAGAUCCCUUCGCCGAUAGAGCAACAGCUUGCGCUACAAGCAGCGUCAGUCGGGAUCAAGGGGCGGGCCAAACUAGGGUUCUGCGACAACCAGGUACCAUCCUGCCAAUCUUUGCUUCAUCUGAAAUCCAUGCAUGAGGCCAGAUGCUUGAUUCUAAGGAUCUCCGCAGAAACUUGUCCCAUGCCCGGCCGGUCUUUGGGCGAUGUCAUGGAGCAGGAGAGGCCUAUUCUAACCAUUAGAGCGACACAGUUCUUCAUCACUUUCGGAAAUCUGAAGUUACAGUUGAAAAAAAUAACUAGCCCAGCCGUGAGUUAUGCAAUUCUGAGAUUGGAGAAGAAAAUUAUUAAAACUGAAAUAGAGCAAAAGAGAAGAUUACACUGUUUGCAAGGGUCACUAUCUGUCUAA
rnacentral:rRNA from 1 species